rnacentral:rRNA from 1 species
CUCAACCGUAAAAUUGCAGUUGAUACUGGAUGUCUUGAGUGCAGUUGAGGCAGGCGGAAUUCGUGGUGUAGCGGUGAAAUGCUUAGAUAUCACGAAGAACUCCGAUUGCGAAGGCAGCCUGCUAAGCUGCAACUGGCAUUGAGGCUCGAAAGUGUGGGUAUCAAACAGGAUUAGAUACCCUGGUAGUCCACACGGUAAACGAUGAAUACUCGCUGUUUGCGAUAUACGGCAAGCGGCCAAGCGAAAGCGUUAAGUAUUCCACCUGGGGAGUACGCCGGCAACGGUGAAACUUAAAGGAAUUGACGGGGGCCCGCACAAGCGGAGGAACAUGUGGUUUAAUUCGAUGAUACGCGAGGAACCUUACCCGGGCUUAAAUUGCACUCGAAUGAUCCGGAAACGGUUCAGCUAGCAAUAGCGAGUGUGAAGGUGCUGCAUGGUUGUCGUCAGCUCGUGCCGUGAGGCGUCGGCUUAAGUGCCAUAACGAGCGCAACCCUUGUUGUCAGUUACUAACAGGUGAUGCUGAGGACUCUGACAAGACUGCCAUCGUAAGAUGUGAGGAAGGUGGGGAUGACGUCAAAUCAGCACGGCCCUUACGUCCGGGGCUACACACGUGUUACAAUGGGGGGUACAGAGGGCCGCUACCACGCGAGUGGAUGCCAAUCCCUAAAACCCCUCUCAGUUCGGACUGGAGUCUGCAACCCGACUCCACGAAGCUGGAUUCGCUAGUAAUCGCGCAUCAGCCACGGCGCGGUGAAUACGUUCCCGGGCCUUGUACACACCGCCCGUCAAGCCAUGGGAGCCGGGGGUACCUGAAGUGCGUAACCGCGAGGAGCGCCCUAGGGUAAAACUGGUGACU